UGCAGCUCAGUGGUAGAGCACUUGCCCACCAAGCACAAGGCCUGGAUUCAAACCCAGCACUGCAA
rnacentral:tRNA from 1 species